rnacentral:misc_RNA from 1 species
AAGUCGUAACAAGGUUUCCGUAGGUGAACCUGCGGAAGGAUCAUUACCAAGUUUAAUCCAAAAAACUAUUAAACCCAUGUGCACGAUGGAUCGUCUUGUCUUUGGGGUGAGAAAGGUUUAGGCUUUACAUAAAGCCUGAAUGGGUUCUUCACCCCACAUGUGUAAACACCCAAUUUAUUUUUGUGUUGGCAUCUAAUUGUCUUAAUAAAACAUGGACAACUUUUAACGGUGGAUCUCUUGGCUCGUG